rnacentral:tRNA from 1 species
GGGGAUGUAGCUCAGUGGUAGAGCGCUUGCUUCGCAUGUAUGAAGUCCAGCGUUCAAUCCCCUCCAUCUCCA